rnacentral:rRNA from 1 species
CAGAGUUGUCUUUUCUGUUUCACGCGCCCAAGGCCCUGGAAUCUGAUUUGCAGGAGAUAGGGUCCGACGGCCGGGAGAGCACCGCACGUCUGUGGUGUCCGGUGCGCUUUCGACGGUCCUUGAAAACCCGAGGGAAUAGUAUGUUGUUCGUACCCGGUCGUACCGAUAACCGCAUCCGGUCUCCAAGGUGAGCAGCCUCUAGUCGAUAGAAGAACGUAGGUAAGGGAAGUCGGCAAAAUAGUUCCGUAACUUUGGGAUAAGGAAUGGCUCUGAAGGUCGGGUGU